rnacentral:rRNA from 1 species
GAUUUCUGGUUUAAUGCACCUGGCCCGCGGCCAAUAGGCUUGUGAGUGCCGGCGCGCGUUUACCAUCCUUCUAGAAAACGAUUCUGCCAUUCACUUGGUUGGGACCGCGAUCUAGAUCUUUUACUUUGAAAAAAUUAGAGUGUUUAAAGCAGGCUUUUGCUAUGAAUACAUUAGCAUGGAAUAAUAAUCUAGGACUUCGGUUCUAUUUUGUUGGUUUCUAUAACUGAAGUAAUGAUUGAUAGGGAAAUUCUGGAUUCGGUCAAGACUAACUUAUGCGAAAGCAUU